GAUUCGGUAGCCAAGUGGAUAAGGCAAUAGUUUCCGGAGCUAUGAGCGAGGGUUCGAUCCCCUCUCGAAUCGCCA
rnacentral:tRNA from 1 species